rnacentral:lncRNA from 1 species
UGCAUGACAAAUCCAACCCCGACAUGUAGUUGAGGAUGUUUCCCUUUUGGGAAAACAAAAACUUCAACGGCUUGAGUGCGCUAAGAGACUUGAAGAUGCUGUUGUUGAACCAAUUGAAACCAAGUUUUAACUUCUCUAACCUCUUCAAAUAGACCAAUUUUAUAAAACCUGCUUAGAUUGCACUGAUUGAUUAGUGUAUUAAUCUUCUACUAAAGUUAUAAGUAAACUAACUGUAUAUAAGAUGGAACUUAUCACACAAUAAAAUCUUAAACUCUGAUUAUAAAUAAGUUUAUAUUCGAAUACUAGGCUGAUAAAUUACCAGUAGUAUUAGCAGAACUCAACAAGUCAUUUCCAGAUAAAUCAAGAAUUCUUAUUUCUUUGAAAGGGGAAAAUAAGGAGACAUUAAGAAAAUAAUCUUGGGAUUCAAGGAGUUCUACAAUACGUAAAUUGUUAAGAUCGAGCUCGACUACUCUGCCUGUAGUUAAAUCACAAGUGACUCUCUCCCAGUUGCAGCAGUUACUCUCUUUUCCAUGAAUCCAUGAAAGAAGCGAAGUGUCUGCUUCACCAUUCAUCAAUCGAAAAUAUGUCUUAAUUUCUAGAAGACCCCUUCUCUCCUCCUCAAUACAACCAUGGAAUCCAUUGAUUUGUAAUUAAAUUGUAAAAGCCAAAAAUAAGCAGUUCAUUGGCAGCGACCCCAUUAGUUUUCUUGAAUCUUGAUGAUAACUUUUUAGAACUUCAUUAAUAAUAUCUGAACUUGAAGUCAUUGGCCAAG